rnacentral:rRNA from 1 species
GUCAGCUCGUGUCGUGAGAUGUUGGGUUAAGUCCCGCAACGAGCGCAACCCUUAAGCUUAGUUGCCAUCAUUAAGUUGGGCACUCUAAGUUGACUGCCGGUGACAAACCGGAGGAAGGUGGGGAUGACGUCAAAUCAUCAUGCCCCUUAUGAUUUGGGCUACACACGUGCUACAAUGGACAAUACAAAGGGCAGCGAAACCGCGAGGUCAAGCAAAUCCCAUAAAGUUGUUCUCAGUUCGGAUUGUAGUCUGCAACUCGACUACAUGAAGCUGGAAUCGCUAGUAAUCGUAGAU